UUCUGGGUAUACUGGUUGUCACGUCCUGGUAUACCAUGACCUUUGCUUGACAUGGACAGCCCUUUACCGAACGGAGAUCACCCGUUAGGCUCCUACUGUCCAUGAUUCGGCACAAAUCCAUUCGAAACCACUAGACUCAACCAAAAGCAUAAAUACCUCAUGAAAGAUUUACAUAUCGACAACAAUUAUUUCCUCUACUCAAAUUUCACCAAGGAGACUACUCACACAUAUUGAAAUACACAAACACUAAUUGAAAUGUAUUCAUAAAAACAAACACAAUGCAAAGUAGGAAUAGAUAAUAAACAAAAUACCCGGAUCGAAAUGCUCGAGACCGUCGUCCUUGCGAUUACAACUACUAAAAGUGAAUAAGUGUUUGAUAAACUAAAGAAAAAUAUAAAUGGGAUUGUUUCUGAAUGUAAAAUGAUAAAGUUCAAAUGUAGCUUAAUUGAAAAGGUUCUUUCAAGAGUCAAAAGUUUGCCAAAGUUCUUCCCCCGUUGCACAUCUUCAUCUUUAAAUACUGAUGAUUGGUAGAAGGUAACCCUAGCUGCACCAGCUCUAUAUCUUCAUCGAGAUCUUCUUUCCUUCUUUAGCUCAAUCUUUGAUUGAUCCGAUUGAAGAUAUUUUCCAGCUGCAAUCUUGAGUCAACCUUCCCCUUUUCUAUAUUCUUUCGGCUCCUUCUCUAUCCUCCUGUAAUCUUCCAUCAAAUCUUCUUGAUUUACUUUUUUUUUUGCUUCGGCUGGUUGCUUCUUCUGGUAGUGGUCGAACGGAUUGCUUCCCCGGGUUUGGCUCAUACCAGGUGGUAUGCUUCGGGAUUCUCACAUCUCACUGAGGGGUACUACGCCUCGGCUCCGUGUUGGUAAACAUGACAUGCAAUCUGGGCUGGUAAUGCCCAUUCCGACCACGUUUCUCCAUUUUGCCUCUUACUGGACCUUCCUCCUCCACAAUAUCAUUUUUUUCGGAAUGACCUGAACUGACUCAAAUAAAAGGGAAAAAUAGGGUCAAAUGGCCCAAAAGUCGAAGACGCAUCAGUUGACGGCGGGAAGGCGUAGAUCGGUUGAUGUCACCAGAAAUAGGAAGAGAGUGGGGGCCACGAAUGGAGGAUCUAGGGCUCCACGGCAGCGGUCUUCCGGCCGUGCGAUCUUCCAGGCGGUGUCAAUGCCUGGAUCUGAGAAUAGAUCCGGAGGGAGAGAUGGGGAGUAGGCCACGAUUUGGGUGUAUUCUUUCACGGUAAAAAGGUAGGCGGCAUAACGCGGGGUGGGCUGCGAUUUGUCAUCCCACACGAAUCUCGACGAGCCUUGUCACCGAAACGAUAUGGCAGAUCUCUGCAAUCUCCAUUAAUGACCUCGAGAUUUGUCUGCAACUCUAGAUUUGUGUUGGGUUGAAAACUAGAUUAGUGGUGGUGGGAUUGUAUGGAGAUUUUCUUGGAUGAUGGCUCCAAAAACUGGAUUAGUG
rnacentral:lncRNA from 1 species